rnacentral:rRNA from 1 species
UACGUAGGGUGCAAGCGUUGUCCGGAAUUACUGGGUGUAAGGGGUUCGUAGGCGGUGCGGCAAGUCGGGAGUGAAAUCUCUGGGCUUAACCCAGAGGCUGCUUCCGAAACUGCUGUGCUUGAGUGUGGGAGAGGCGCGUGGAAUUGCAGGUGUAGCGGUGAAAUGCGUAGAUAUCCGCAGGAACACCCGUGGCGAAAGCGGCGCGCUGGACCACUACUGACGCUGAGGAACGAAAGCUAGGGGAGCAAACAGG